UACGAAGGGGGCUAGCGUUGCUCGGAAUCACUGGGCGUAAAGCGCACGUAGGCGGAUCUUUAAGUCGGUGGUGAAAUCCUGGAGCUCAACUCCAGAACUGCCUUCGAUACUGAGAGUCUUGAGUCCGGGAGAGGUGAGUGGAACUGCGAGUGUAGAGGUGAAAUUCGUAGAUAUUCGCAAGAACACCAGUGGCGAAGGCGGCUCACUGGCCCGGUACUGACGCUGAGGUGCGAAAGCGUGGGGAGCAAACAGG
rnacentral:rRNA from 1 species